CCCAUUUGAUCCUUAAGACUCCACCCUAAGCCACUGACACUGUCAUUAUUGAUCCAUGAUGCAUCAAUUUGACAAGUAGGGAUUCGAGGUAUCCAAAGGGGCACUGUCUCAAUCUCUGUAGUAGGGAGAUCGUCAUGAUCCUCCUUUGCUUCCUCUUUUUCGUUAGCCUUCCUCCAACAUUCCGCCUCAAGAGACGCAUGUUGGAGGGUGUCAAUGGGGGAUACGUCUUUCCCAUUGAAGAGUUUGUCGUUCUUCGCCUUCCAAAUGUACCAACAGAUCCAUGGGAA
rnacentral:lncRNA from 1 species